AUUUGCUGUAGUUGCUGUAGUAAAACAGGUUGUUUACUUUCCAAGUCACUCUUGCAGUUGACACAUAUAAAUCAUUCAGGAUCUUACUGGGUGCAAACAUUACUCUAUAGAAUUAUCAUCAAAAAUGUUUUCAGGCUUAAGAAGACAUGUCAGGGCUGUGGUGCAAGUGAAGCUGGCCAAACAAGAUCACAGAUCAACUAUCUACAGCAAGCCACCUAAGGAAAAUAUCGGACCUGGGCAGACAGUGUUUACCAUGUCCAUCUUUGCCCUUGGUCUUCUGGUCCCUGCUGGUUGGAUUAUGUACCACAUCCCAGUAUACCGUCAAACACCACCUUCACAAGUGUAACAUUAUGGACCACCUACAUCACUUACCCUCUGCCACACAACAUAGCUUUGUAUUUGCUGAAAUAAAAUACAAUUUGUCACAUGACAAAAUCUAAA